rnacentral:rRNA from 1 species
UACGUAGGUGGCAAGCGUUUGUCCGGAUUUACUGGGUGUAAAGAGCGCGCAGGCGGUCGAUCAAGUCGCGUGUGAAAGCCCCCGGCUCAACUGGGGAGGGUCACGCGAUACUGAUCGACUCGAAGGCAGGAGAGGGUAGUGGAAUUCCCGGUGUAGUGGUGAAAUGCGUAGAUAUCGGGAGGAACACCAGUGGCGAAGGCGGCGACCUGGGCCAAUAUUGACGCUGAGGAGCGAAAGCCAGGGGAGCAAACGGG